UACGAAGGGGGCGAGCGUUGUUCGGAAUUACUGGGCGUAAAGCGCACGUAGGCGGAUUUGUAAGUCAGGGGUGAAAUCCCGGGGCUCAACCUCGGAACUGCCUUUGAUACUGCAAAUCUCGAGUCCGGAAGAGGUGAGUGGAAUUCCUAGUGUAGAGGUGAAAUUCGUAGAUAUUAGGAAGAACACCAGUGGCGAAGGCGGCUCACUGGUCUGGUACUGACGCUGAGGUGCGAAAGCGUGGGGAGCAAACAGG
rnacentral:rRNA from 1 species